AUGGCCACAUCAUAUUGAAACACCAGUUCCCAUACAAUCCUCAAAGUUAAGCAACAUUGGACUUUGUCAGUACUUAGAUGGGUGACUGCUUAGGAAUACAUGGUGCU